UACGUAGGGCGCAAGCGUUGUCCGGAAUCAUUGGGCGUAAAGGGUAGGUAGGUGGUCUCGUUUGUCUGGGGUGAAAGCCCAGGGCUUAACCCUGGAAGUGCCCCGGAAACGGCGAGACUAGAGUUCUGGAGAGGGUCGUGGAAUUCCCGGUGUAGCGGUGAAAUGCGUAGAGAUCGGGAGGAACACCAGAGGCGAAGGCGGCGACCUGGACAGAUACUGACACUCAACUACGAAAGCGUGGGGAGCAAACAGG
rnacentral:rRNA from 1 species